ACAGAGGGUGCAAACGUUGUUCGGAAUUACUGGGCAUAAAGCGCACGUAGGUGGUCCGCUAAGUCGCGUGUGAAAUCCCUCGGCUCAACCCAGGAACUGCGUCCGAUACUGGUUGGCUUGAAUCCGGGAGAGGGACGUGGAAUUCCAGGUGUAGCGGUGAAAUGCGUAGAUAUCUGGAGGAACACCGGUGGCGAAGGCGACGUCCUGGACCGGCAUUGACGCUGAGGCGCGAAAGCCAGGGGAGCGAACGGGA
rnacentral:rRNA from 1 species